GAAAGGCUGGGAAAUUUCCCCAGCCAAUGGUGAAGCAGAGGGCCAGCAGGGAAUUACUGCCGGGUAGGAGUUCGCUGAGGGGCGUCCUAGUGUUGGAGUAGGAGGCCAUGCUCCAAGGCAAGCUUUCCCUAGGCGGCAACUCUGAGGUACUGAAGUGCGUCGGGGUUAUGCGCGAAGCAGUGAUGGGGUGACCAUCUCCCGCUUCCCGCGGGGACCCACGGGCGGGGCAGGGUCUGAACCCCCUUCGCCUAGUGCUCACGCGGGCCGCAGGCGUACACGUGGUGACCUGCCUGGGGCAGGGUUCCAGGCUCCGGCUCCUCCUCCCUCCAGCUCUCGCUCGGCUUUCUGCAGUAUCACGUGCAGCCGCGCCGAGUGCAGGAUGGCGGCGGCCGCAGCAGCGGUGGGUUUCAGGCUCCGAGACUGCUGCAGCCAGGGCGCUGUACUCCUGCUCUUCUUCUCCCUGUCCCCUCGGCCCCCGGCCGCCGCCGCCUGGCUGCUGGGCCUGCGGCCCGAGGACACCGCUGGAGGCCGCGUGUCCCUGGAGGGGGGCACCCUGCGCGCCGCUGAAGGCACAAGCUUCCUUCUGCGCGUCUAUUUCCAGCCAGGGCCCGCGGCGCCCGUGGCGCCGGUGCCCGCACCCACCCUUUCCCCGGGGGAGAACGGCACCGGUGACUGGGCACCGCGGCUGGUGUUUAUCGAGGAGCCCCCGGGCGGGAGCGGCGUGGCCCCCAGCGCUGUCCCCACGCGCCCCCCGGGGCCGCAGCGCUGCCGCGAGCAGAGCGACUGGGCGUCGGACGUGGAGGUCCUGGGGCCCCUGCGCCCCGGUGGCGUGGCGGGCUCGGCUCUAGUCCAGGUGCGGGUGCGGGAGCUGCGCAAGGGCGAGGCAGAGCGAAGCGGCGCGGGCGGUGGCGGGAAGCUCUUCUCGCUGUGCGCCUGGGACGGGCGCGCUUGGCACCACCACGGCGCUGCCGGUGGCUUCCUGCUGCGCGUCCGCCCGCGGCUGUAUGGCCCGGGCGGGGACCUUCUGCCCCCCGCGUGGCUGCGGGCGCUCGGAGCUCUCCUGCUGCUCGCCCUGUCUGCCCUGUUCAGCGGCCUGCGCUUGAGCCUGCUCUCGCUGGACCCGGUGGAGUUACGGGUGCUGCGGAACAGCGGCUCAGCCGCCGAGCAGGAACAGGCGCGCCGAGUGCAGGCCGUGCGCGGCAGGGGGACCCAUCUGCUCUGCACCCUGCUCCUGGGCCAAGCCGGAGCCAAUGCGGCCCUGGCGGGCUGGCUGUACGCCUCGCUGCCCCCGGGCGUCGGGGACGCCGGGGAAGAUUAUGGAGACGCGGGGAUUCACUUCCCGUGGCUGCCGGCGCUGGUGUGCACAGGCGCUGUGUUCCUGGGCGCCGAGAUUUGCCCCUACUCUGUGUGUUCGCGGCACGGACUGGCCAUUGCCUCGCAUAGCGUGUGCCUGACCCGGCUCCUGAUGGCGGCCGCCUUCCCCGUGUGUUACCCGCUGGGCCGCCUGCUGGACUGGGCACUGCGCCAAGAGAUCAGCACCUUCUACACGCGGGAGAAGCUGCUGGAGACGCUGAGGGCCGCGGACCCUUACAGCGACCUGGUAAAGGAAGAACUCAACAUCAUUCAAGGCGCCCUGGAGCUGCGCACCAAGGUGGUAGAGGAGGUGCUGACCCCCCUUGGGGACUGCUUCAUGCUGCGUUCCGACGCAGUGCUGGAUUUCGCCACUGUCUCCGAGAUCCUGCGCAGCGGUUACACUCGCAUCCCCGUGUACGAAGGCGACCAGCGGCACAACAUUGUGGACAUUCUGUUUGUCAAGGACUUGGCCUUCGUGGACCCCGACGACUGCACGCCGCUCCUCACCGUCACCCGCUUCUACAACCGGCCCCUGCACUGCGUCUUCAAUGAUACCCGGCUGGACACGGUGCUGGAGGAGUUUAAGAAGGGAAAAUCUCACCUGGCCAUUGUGCAGCGGGUGAAUAAUGAGGGAGAAGGGGACCCCUUCUACGAGGUGAUGGGCAUUGUCACACUGGAGGAUAUCAUAGAGGAGAUCAUCAAGUCGGAGAUCCUGGAUGAAACGGACCUCUACACUGACAAUCGGAAAAAGCAGAGGGUCCCGCACCGGGAGAGGAAGCGGCACGACUUCUCCUUGUUUAAGCUUUCAGACUCGGAGAUGAGGGUGAAGAUCUCUCCGCAGCUUCUGCUGGCCACGCACCGCUUCAUGGCCACAGAAGUGGAGCCCUUUAAGUCUCUGUACCUCUCGGAGAAGAUCCUGCUCAGGCUCCUAAAACAUCCUAACGUGAUCCAGGAGCUGAAGUUUGAUGAGAAGAACAAGAAGGCCCCAGAACACUACCUCUACCAGCGCAACCGCCCCGUGGACUACUUUGUGCUGCUUCUGCAGGGUAAAGUGGAGGUGGAGGUUGGUAAGGAAGGCCUUCGCUUCGAGAACGGAGCCUUCACCUACUAUGGUGUCCCAGCCAUCAUGACCACUGCCUGCUCAGAUAACGAUGUGCGGAAGGUCGGAAGUCUGGCUGGAUCCUCUGCCUUUCUGCCCGUCUCUGUGUCUCGUACCUUCGCCUUCAGCAGAGGGGACUCUCUGGCAGGCUCCCCAGUCAACCGAUCCCCUUCGCGCUGCAGUGGGUUGAACCGCUCUGAGUCUCCCAACCGCGAGCGCAGUGACUUUGGGGGGAGCAACACCCAGCUGUGCAGCAGCAGCAACAACCUCUACACGCCUGACUACUCCGUCCACAUCCUCAGCGAUGUGCAGUUCGUGAAGGUCACACGGCAGCAGUAUCAGAACGCACUCACCGCCUGCCACAUGGACAGCUCACCCCAGUCCCCGGACAUGGAAGCCUUCACUGACGGAGACUCCACCAAGGCCCCCACGACCCGGGGCACACCCCAGACUCCCAAGGAAGACCCUGCCGCCACCCUCCUGAGCAACAGGAACAUCCUGCCGUGCAGCCGCUCCGAUGGGCUGAGAAGCCCCGGUGAGGUCGUGUACCUGAGGAUGGAGGAGACGGCCUUCGCCCAGGAGGAGAUGACGGACUUGGAGGAGCCGAGCACACAGCAGCUCUCACUGUCUCCUGCAGCUGUUCCCGUGAGAGCAGGUCAGGGAGGGCAGCUGGGCCCGCGGGAGCGAGUGGGUUGUGGCCGUCAGGCACUGGGAUGGCCUGGGGUGAGCCAGGUGAGGGAAGUCUGGGACCCCGGCCCCCACGUACAACUGCCCACCUCCUUAUGCCAGCAGCGAAGGGAAACUAAGGCUUACUGCUCACCUACCUACCGCUCUUCAGGCCCAUCUUAACUCAUUCUCCCAGGAAGACAGCGUGUAGGACAGUGUUAGCUAGGUUUCAAACCUGGACUCAGACCCUGGCCUCUCCAUUGAGGAGCUACACAGCUUUCAACAAGUUAACCUAAGACUCGAUUUCCUUAUGCCGAUAGAUGUAAAUCAUGAAGCAGCUUUGAGCAUAAAUGCGAUAACCUCUUUAGGAAGGCACCUCACAAUGCUUGGUUCCAUGCCCCCUAAACAGUUACUAUUAGGCCUAGUUUACAGAUGAGGAAACGGAGGUCAGCUAUCACUCUUAAUGGCAGGGCUCUUCCCUUCCUUCAGGCCCCAGAGACUGGCAGUCAUCUGUAGACUCUGUCCUAAGGUCUGGGAUCACAGCACCUCUCUUGGAGACACUGAAUGCUUCUGUCUCAACAGCUAUGUUGCUGUGAGCUCCCAGUAUCCCACCCAUCCUGAGAUUAUACAUCCCUAAGCAUUCAGCAGCCCCCUCCACCAACACUCCCAGACCAGUCCUUACCCCACUCGACCUUCCAGAUCUGCUCCAGUCCACAGCCUACCAUCCCUCAAGUCCAGAGCAAUGAUCUGACAAGUGCUCGUGGAUUUUUUGAAGUCAGUGAGAAGUUGUGGCCAACUCGGAAAAUCUGGGACGUGCAUCAUCACCAUUCCAGGACCUGAGUUUAGAACCAAUUUUUUUUUCUCCUGCACAUGUAGCAAGACGUUAUAUGAAAGCAAUGAGGGUGGAGAUGUUGGCAGUCCAUCCUCCCCGUAUGACACAUGGGGGCCCUAGGCCUGGAGGAGAGAAAUGGCUUGCCCAGUUUACCUCAUUAGAAGUGGACCCAACAGAGUUCCUGUUGUGGCUCAGCAGGUUAAGGACCCGACGUUGUCUCUGUGAGGGUGUGGGUUCAAUCUCUGGCCUCGCUCAGUGGGUUAAGGAUUAGUUGCUGCAAGCUGUGGCAUAGGUCGCAGAUGCGGCUCAGAUGCAGUGUUGCUGUGGCUGUGGCACAGGCCCCAGCAGCAGCUCCAGUUUAGCUCCUAGCCCAGGAAUGUCUAUGUGCCACAGUGCGGCUGUUAAAAAAAGAAAAAGAAAUGGGCUCAGCCUUGUGGCUUCAGGAGUGGUGCAGUUUCCACCAUACCACCUUGCCUCCCCUCUUAGGUUCACGAGCAUUGGCGGUGAGGGCCUGGGUCCCUUCCUGGCUCUGAGAGUCAGUGGCUCUCAGAAUCCCGACUAUGUUCAGUGGGAGAAGAGAGGGGGCAUGUGCCUCGUUACUGAGCCCUGAGAUUUUCCAGGGCCUGUGCAGGUAGAGGAAGGAGACGCUUGACCCAUUCCCAAAGGUGAUCUUCUUUUUGUUCCUUUUGUGGCACUAAAAUGCCCCUUGCUAACCAAUUAGAGCCCUCAGCUUCCUGGAUAUCCCUCCCCUUAUCACAGCCACCCCUGCCUUGGCUCUGGUUUUGAACUUUCACGUGCUGAGGAACAUGAACCCAAACUGCCCUCUCCCUGGAUCCCUGAGUGUGUAGGUGGAAAGGCUUGCGUUCUUUCUUCUUUCCUUUCUCUCAGGGUCAGAUAGUGAAUGUUGCCACAUCAACCUGGACACGGAGACCAGCCCCUGCAGCAGCGACUUUGAGGAAACCAUGGGCAAGAAGUUGCUGAGAACUUUGAGUGGUCGAAAAAGGAAGAGGUCACCAGAUGGAGAAAGAACUUCUGAGGAGAACUCCAACUUAACGCCUCUCAUCACAUGACAGGCAGUGUUCGCUGGGUGCGUGAGAUUGCAGAGCUUUGGGGAGAACCCGUCCUCCCAUCGUGUUCCUCCCCAAGGCCUCACAGGUGACAGAGCGUUCUGCUUUCCUUACCACCUCUUCACCCCUAGCUGUCAGUUUGGCAGAUUUUCCCUUGUUGCCUCCAGUAUGACUCAGAGCCUUGCUGUAGCCAUAACGGAAGGAAGUGCCUCCAGUGGAACAUGCUAGAAAUGGUCUUGUUCACAGCACAGUCUGGGAUUGGAGAAGAAAUGACCCAGGCUGACAAGGUCACUCUAGGACCCCUGAUGCCCUUUUUAGUUCUUUGGUGUCCCCUGGCGCCAUAUUUCAUGCUUAGCUUAGGUCAAAAGGUGCCACCGGCAGACGGGCACUAGGAUCUGGAGCAGCAGAUAAGGAGGUUAAUUCAGGAGAUGCACUAAGAAUUCUUCCAGAACAUUAGAGCAGUGGGACUCGAUCAUGUCGGCAUGUGAAGUUACAGUACAGAAAACUGUUGGUGACCAGUUUCCUGUUAGUUGAGGGUUUCGGCAGCUUAGGAGCUUUGUCUCAGCUGGAGUGGAAAGAAUGCGAGAUAGAACCUCAAGUCACUGUAUUUCCCAGGGACACAUCUGUUUUGGCUCCUGAUCUGCAGUCAUCAAUUCAUCAGUAAAUCUGCUCUGGAAGAGGAGGAUCAGGAAGCAGAGAAACCCAUUUGGGAGCCAGAGAUGGAACUUCAGGUAUUAAGUUUUUAAAAAAUUAGGUGGAAACAUUUUUAGCCAUGACAAACCAAAGAGUGCCCAAGUCGGCCGAGAAGGAUGCAAGCUCUCAUGGGACUUCAAUGUGCGUUACACAGGAACAUUGAAGAAUCACUCUUCUUUUUUCAUCCAUUCGCUCACCCCGACUUCUUACUACACUCCAGCAAGUCAGUUGAGUGUAAUUUAUUCCAAGAACAUAGGAGAGCCUCUGGUUUUUCACCUGAUGUUGGGGGCAGAUGCAAUCCCAAGCAUAACCACCAGAUGGCAGGAUGACUGAAAAUAGCUAAAACUUGUUCUGAUGGGGAACCACACAGCCAGGUUUUUAGGAAAAAAAUGUGGAAGUAAGUGAAGGGUGUCUUCCGGACACCUGCUUCCCUUUCUGAUGUAUGUCCCUCCCCUUGGGUUCCCUGGGUCAGGGAUCCAGUGAUUCAGUGCUUUCUGCUGAAUCUCCAAGCCAUUCCCUAACUUUUCUCUGGGGUAUACCAUUCAGGCUUCGCUUCCUUUCCUCCAAAACCAUGACUCCCAUAUCCCCACCCCCAUUCAAUCAAUAAUCACAUGGGGAGUAGGGAAGCUGAUAAUUCCUCUGGGUUAUUUGCAUCUCAAAAGAAAAUGCUUACCCACAGGAACCUUUAACUCAGGGGUUCUUAACUUGGGGUCCAUCACUCCAGAGGGUCCAUUGUUGGACUUCAGAGGGUCUGUGAAACCCCUGUUAGAAUUUAGUGUCUGUGUUCUUAUGUGUGUUUCCCAGGGGGCUAAAGCUUUCAUGUGAUUCUCAGAGGUCUCAGACGCACAUGAUGUUAAAACCCACUAUUUUAACUAGUGGAACUUUCAGCCCAAAGUUUCUGCAAUGCAGAGUGAAGUGAAUACCAGGUAGUCAAAAGAUGGAUUUUUAGUUAUAAAGUGGUCUUCUCAAGUGUCCAUCAAAUCGAUGGGGAAAGCUGAUAGCCACCAAGUGGAAGUUGUCAGAAAUUCUUGGCACACCCUAGGGUAUUGUACAGCCUAUACCCCCACGUAAUUCGGUCCCCCUCUUCCACACCAAACCAGAGCAGGUGUUGCAGACAGGAGGGGCACUGCCUAUGGAAGUGGACUUUCUAGCUGGAGAUGCCUUUUUCAGCAAUGUAUUACUGACUUCACAUCCCUUGCCUGGCUCUGCCUGAGGCUCAGCAGUGCAUGACUUCUUGUACAUAACUCACGGCUACCAACCACUCCCAACACCUACUCUUACCUGGUAGAAAUAGGCAGAGUGUCAGCUCUCAGUGCUAGGUGCCUCAGACCCAAACCAGUGAAUGGUGAGGUUCAAGCAAGGGCUGCCAUCAUGCAGUCUUUUUACCCAGCUGGCCACUGGCCCAAGGGGGCUCACCCGCCUAGUCUUCCUUUCAUUACCGCUUAGGCCACUGCUGUUGUAUUACAUUCCUCCCUUUGCAAAAUCCCUAAGGAGCCUGUCACCACUCCCCUCCCUACUGUCCGCCCCAAACCAAGAUUUUCUUCAGGUUAAAAAAGAAAAAAAAAGUAAAAGGUUUUUAAAAUAAAGCAUUUAUGAAGGCUGAAUAUAUUGUAAAUAGUUUUUAAAUACAAUAAAAAUGCUUUUCCUGGAA